UCACCCUCAAGCAUAGCUUGGUGUUGGGCCUCGCCUGUACGGGCGGGCCCGAAUUGCAUUGGCGACGCCGCCGGGUCUCGGGCGUAGGAAAUCUCGACGUCUGUGAGAUCUGGCGGGUGGUCUGCUGAACCCCUUUUAUCAC
rnacentral:misc_RNA from 1 species